rnacentral:rRNA from 1 species
GACGAACGCUGGCGGCGUGCCUAAUACAUGCAAGUAGAACGCUGAAGGAGGAGCUUGCUUCUCCGGAUGAGUUGCGAACGGGUGAGUAACGCGUAGGUAACCUGCCUGGUAGCGGGGGAUAACUAUUGGAAACGAUAGCUAAUACCGCAUAAGAGUAGAUGUCGCAUGACAUUUGCUUAAAAGGUGCAACUGCACCACUACCAGAUGGACCUGCGUUGUAUUAGCUAGUUGGUGAGGUAACGGCUCACCAAGGCAACGAUACAUAGCCGACCUGAGAGGGGGAUCGGCCACACUGGGACUGAGACACGGCCCAGGCUCCUACGGGAGGCAGCAGUAGGGAAUCUUCGGCAAUGGACGGAAGUCUGACCGAGCAACGCCGCGUGAGUGAAGAAGGUUUUCGGAUCGUAAAGCUCUGUUGUAAGAGAAGAACGAGUGUGAGAGUGGAAAGUUCACACUGUGACGGUAUCUUACCAGAAAGGGACGGCUAACUACGUG